UUAUGCGGGGUGUAAUUAACAAAGGCAAAUCCACGUGUCUGAUCAAUAAUGUGGAACAAGGGGUUCCAGUCAAACAUCGAAAGCAUGAAAGGUGGCAGACUAUUGGCCACAAACAUUUUGCCUGAGGCCACCAUAUUUGCACGUU
rnacentral:ncRNA from 1 species